rnacentral:rRNA from 1 species
UACAGAGGGUGCGAGCGUUAAUCGGAAUUACUGGGCGUAAAGCGCACGUAGGCGGCUUGGUAUGUCGGGUGUGAAAUCCCCGGGCUCAACCUGGGAACUGCAUCCGAAACUGCCUUGCUAGAGUAUGGGAGAGGGAAGUGGAAUUUCCGGUGUAGCGGUGAAAUGCGUAGAUAUCGGAAGGAACGCCGGUGGCGAAAGCGACAGACUGGACCUCUACUAACGCUGAGGCGCGAAAGCUAGGGGAGCAAACGGG